CUGAAUAAUCAUACUUCCUAGAAUCUGCUGGUACCUGUAUUUCUAAUGUGACUGUCUUUGCUGUUAACUUAUGCAGUCUGUCUUAAGGGUGUAUUUGAUUAAAAACAUUCUUGGUCUACAAAAACUCCAGGCAUUUUUGUUGUUGUAAAUCCUACAACAGUUACCUGACCAGCCAGAACCACACACUUUGACAAAACUUUACAAAGACGAGUGGAUCUGGAGCUAGAAUCAACAAUUAAAGUGUCAAACUAUUAUGUCAGGUAAAAGAACGUUCUAAAUGUUAUGACAAUUUCAAGACGAGAUGGCUUUCGCAUUUGAGAGAUACAUGAUGCAAAAGAGCAGUUGUGGUUGGACUGUCUCAAGUUAGACCAGAGGUUUUUCAUGCUCUAUGGUCCGAUUCAAACAGAAAUAACUGGCUGGUCAGGCAACUACAUCAGGGGUUUAGUCAGCUAGGACACUGAACCUAUUGAUGUGAACAUGUUUCUGAUUGUAUUUUUUCUUUUACAGUUUGUGAAAUUGAUGUCCCUCAUAGUUACAAUGCUACAGCUGGCGAUCGAUUGGAGAUUACAUGCCCAAUCUGUGAAAAAAUUCCUUUAGCAGUCACCUGGUACAAAAAUGACACACAGGGGUUUAGGUGAGUGAACUUGAGCGAUCGUGUGAAAACCAACAACUAUAGUGAGGACUCUGCAAAUCAUACCAUAGAGAUUCAUGUUCAUGUUACUGAUCCUCCAGCUCCUUACUAUGGAUGGUCUUUUCUGUAUUGUUCAGUUGGGUUGAUCUUAUUCUUCAUCAUCAUUGCCAGUGUUUAUGUUGUACUAAAGAAAUGCAAAGAUCUUGCAGCGCUCAACACUUCAAAUGUGAGAAGUACAAGUACAGACCCUCGUCACGACAGCCUCAAUGAGCAAAAUCAUACCUACGAAAAUUUCCAGCAAUGUGUCUAAAUGUCAGUUCAUAUUAUUAACCAUUCAAAGUGUAUUAUUUGUACAGUCAUAUGUCAUUAUUUUCUAAAAUAAAUGACCCAUGUAUAUAGUUUAAAUGGGGCUGGGGUUCUGAUGGUUCUAGACGAAGGCAGAAUAUAUCGCAGAGGAAGCUGAACUUAACCACAGACAGUUACCUUCACUUUAAAUGGAAAGAGAGAAUGUGUCACCAGUCUGAAUGUGCUACCCUCAAGAAAAGUGUUUUCUUUCUCUUUUUAAAAAGUGUUUGUUUCUUUUUUGCUGUCGUUCAUAAAAUGUGGGGCUGUAGUCGACAAAAUAAAUUCUUGGUUGACUGGAGACAUGUCCUGCAGAUCGAUCAGUUGAGUAAAAAAGGCAAAAGCUCUAAAACUAUCUCUGUGUGUCCAAGCUGCAUUCACUAACUAUACAACAUGACUACAAGUGCACAAGAGUUCAUGCAAAAACAACUAUUUAUGCAAAGUACUAGGAAACUGU